ACAGCAGUAGCCGCGGUAAUACGUAGGUGGCAAGCGUUGUCCGGGAUUAUUGGGCGUAAAGGGCUCGCAGGCGGUUUCUUAAGUCUGAUGUGAAAGCCCCCGGCUCAACCGGGGAGGGUCAUUGGAAACUGGGAAACUUGAGUGCAGAAGAGGAGAGUGGAAUUCCACGUGUAGCGGUGAAAUGCGUAGAGAUGUGGAGGAACACCAGUGGCGAAGGCGACUCUCUGGUCUGUAACUGACGCUGAGGAGCGAAAGCGUGGGGAGCGAACAGGAUUAGAUACCCCUGUAGUCCCUGUCUCUUAUAC
rnacentral:rRNA from 1 species